rnacentral:piRNA from 1 species
UGGGAUAAGCAACAUAGGAAACAUUUCACCAC